GACGAACGCUGGCGGCGUGCUUAACACAUGCAAGUCGAACGGAAAGGCCCUGCUUGCAGGGUGCUCGAGUGGCGAACGGGUGAGUAACACGUGGGUGAUCUGCCCCUUACUUUGGGAUAAGCCUGGGAAACUGGGUCUAAUACUGGAUAGGACCAUGCUGUAGGUGGUGUGGUGGAAAGAUUAGUUUCGGUAAGGGAUGAGCUCGCGGCCUAUCAGCUUGUUGGUGGGGUAAUGGCCUACCAAGGCGUCGACGGGUAGCCGGCCUGAGAGGGUGGACGGCCACAUUGGUACUGAGAUACGGCCCAGACUCCUACGGGAGGCAGCAGUGGGGAAGAUUGCACAAUGGGCGCAAGCCUGAUGCAGCGACGCCGCGUGGGGGAUGACGGCCUUCGGGUUGUAAACUCCUUGCAGCCAUGACGAAGCCCUUGUGGUGACGGUAGUGGUAGAAGAAGCACCGGCUAACUACGUG
rnacentral:rRNA from 1 species